UGGCAGGAUAGUCGAGGUAUGCUGAGA
rnacentral:piRNA from 1 species